rnacentral:rRNA from 1 species
AGAGUUUGAUCAUGGCUCAGGAUGAACGCUAGCGGCAGGCUUAACACAUGCAAGUCGAGGGGUAUUGGUUUUCGGACCAAGAGACCGGCGCACGGGUGCGUAACGCGUAUGCAAUCUACCUUUUACAGAGGGAUAGCCAGAGAAAUUUGGAUUAAUACCUCAUAGUGUUAUUGAAUGGCAUCAUUUAAUAAUUAAAGUUCCAACGGUAAAAGAUGAGCAUGCGUCCCAUUAGCUAGAUGGUAAGGUAACGGCUUACCAUGGCGACGAUGGGUAGGGGUCCUGAGAGGGAGAUCCCCCACACUGGUACUGAGACACGGACCAGACUCCUACGGGAGGCAGCAGUGAGGAAUAUUGGUCAAUGGGCGCAAGCCUGAACCAGCCAUGCCGCGUGCAGGAUGACGGUCCUAUGGAUUGUAAACUGCUUUUGUACAGGAAGAAACAGUUCUACGUGUAGAACCUUGACGGUACUGUAAGAAUAAGGAUCGGCUACUCCGUGCCAGCAGCCGCGGUAAUACGGAGGAUCCAAGCGUUAUCCGGAAUCAUUGGGUUUAAAGGGUCCGUAGGCGGUUUUGUAAGUCAGUGGUGAAAGCCCAUCGCUCAACGGUGGAACGGCCAUUGAUACUGCAAGACUUGAAUUAUUAGGAAGUAACUAGAAUAUGUAGUGUAGCGGUGAAAUGCUUAGAGAUUACAUGGAAUACCAAUUGCGAAGGCAGGUUACUACUAAUGGAUUGACGCUGAUGGACGAAAGCGUGGGGAGCGAACAGGAUUAGAUACCCUAGUAGUCC